rnacentral:rRNA from 1 species
UACGGAGGGUGCGAGCGUUGUCCGGAAUCACUGGGCGUAAAGGGCGCGUAGGCGGCGCGGAUAGUCGGCGGUGAAAGCCCGGAGCUCAACUCCGGGUCGGCCGUCGAUACUUCCGGGCUUGAGCACUGUAGAGGCAGAUGGAAUUCCGGGGUGUAGCGGUGGAAUGCGUAGAGAUCCGGAAGAACACCGGUGGCGAAGGCGGUCGUGC